rnacentral:rRNA from 1 species
ACGAACGCUGGCGGCGUGCUUAACACAUGCAAGUCGAACGGAAAGGCCCUGCUUUUGUGGGGUGCUCGAGUGGCGAACGGGUGAGUAACACGUGAGUAACCUGCCCUUGACUUUGGGAUAACUUCAGGAAACUGGGGCUAAUACCGGAUAGGAGCUCCUGCUGCAUGGUGGGGGUUGGAAAGUUUCGGCGGUUGGGGAUGGACUCGCGGCUUAUCAGCUUGUUGGUGGGGUAGUGGCUUACCAAGGCUUUGACGGGUAGCCGGCCUGAGAGGGUGACCGGCCACAAUGGGACUGAGAUACGGCCCAGACUCCUACGGGAGGCAGCCGUGGGGAAUAUUGCACAAUGGGCGGAAGCCUGAUGCAGCAACGCCGCGUGCGGGAUGACGGCCUUCGGGUUGUAAACCGCUUUCGCCUGUGACGAAGCGUGAGUGACGGUAAUGGGUAAAGAAGCACCGGCUAACUACGUG